UCCUGGGGAGUUCUGGGAAGGGAGGCGGCAGUAACAGAUAUUAGAAGGGAAGAGACAACCUAAAACCCAGCAAGACAGCAGAAGGCUGUAUGCUUUGAGGUGACCCUCCUUGCUUUGACACUCUAAAUGUCCAGCAAGAGCUACUCGAAAAUCUAAAAUCACGUAUGUGGCUGCAUUGUCUGCAUGCACCGUGCUGCCCUAGAAAGCUGACAUCUUGCAGACUCGCUCCAGCCUCUCCAACUCCAGUGUCCACCCUGAUUCUAAAGGGAUGUCAAAGUAGACAGCUCUGCAGGAGCUGGGGCUGGGUGCAACGCCUGGCCCCAACCCGCGCCCUGCUGCCCUGCCUUGCUGGCAACACCCACAGGUCUCCCCAGGCCUCCGCCACUGGCCCCGGUGCCCGCUCUGACCUAGGGCCUUUCUGCUUCCAUGCUAGCUGCAAUCCAGGAAGGGCCUUGGGGGCGCCUACACGUUGCCACCCUCAUGACAGCGCUGUGAAAUUGGCCUCAUUGUCACCACUGCGCACACACAGAGACAGAGGCUCGGCGAGGUGAGGUGGCUUGCCCGGCUUCCCACAGCCAGUGAGUAAUUGGUGUGCUGAACGUCGCCUUACAGACUCCCAAACAUGUGUGCCUUGCAGUCAAGUAGUGGUCUUCAUGUGCUUCCUGUAUCACCGCUAAGUUAUUGCCUUGCCAUUGCAGAACUUGGAUCAUUUGGAAACAAAUUAUUAAUUUAAUAAAAUAA